rnacentral:rRNA from 1 species
UACGAAGGGUGCAAGCGUUACUCGGAAUUACUGGGCGUAAAGGGUGCGUAGGUGGUUUGUUAAGUCUGCUGUGAAAUCCCCGGGCUCAACCUGGGAAUGGCAGUGGAUACUGGCAAGCUAGAGUGCGGUAGAGGGUAGUGGAAUUCCCGGUGUAGCAGUGAAAUGCGUAGAGAUCGGGAGGAACACCAGUGGCGAAGGCGGCUACCUGGACCAGCUACUGACACUGAAGCACGAAAGCGUGGGGAGCAAACAGG